CAGUCGCCACGGGAAUACGUAGGGUGCAAGCGUUAAUCGGAAUUACUGGGCGUAAAGCGUGCGCAGGCGGUUAUAUAAGUCAGAUGUGAAAUCCCCGGGCUCGACCUGGGAACUGCAUUUGAGACUGUAUGGCUAGAGUGUGUCAGAGGGGGGUAGAAUUCCACGUGUAGCAGUGAAAUGCGUAGAUAUGUGGAGGAAUACCGAUGGCGAAGGCAGCCCCCUGGGAUAACACUGACGCUCAUGCACGAAAGCGUGGGGAGCAAACAGGAUUAGAUACCCCCGUAGUCCCUGUCUCUUAUAC
rnacentral:rRNA from 1 species